rnacentral:rRNA from 1 species
UAUUGGACAAUGGGGGGAACCCUGAUCCAGCGACGCCGCGUGAGUGAAGAAGUAUUUCGGUAUGUAAAGCUCUAUCAGCAGGGAAGAAAGAAAUGACGGUACCUGACUAAGAAGCCCCGGCUAAAUACGUGCCAGCAGCCGCGGUAAUACGUAUGGAGCAAGCGUUAUCCGGAUUUACUGGGUGUAAAGGGAGCGCAGACGGCAGGGCAAGUCUGAUGUGAAAGUCCGGGGCUCAACCCCGGGACUGCAUUGGAAACUGUCCGGCUAGAGUGCAGGAGAGGUAAGUGGAAUUCCUAGUGUAGCGGUGAAAUGCGUAGAUAUUAGGAGGAACACCAGUGGCGAAGGCGGCUUACUGGACUGUAACUGACGUUGAGGCUCGAAAGCGUGGGGAGCAA